rnacentral:lncRNA from 1 species
UGUUGCUCACGUAUCCUCUGUUGAUCAGCUUGCUGAUGCUCUCACCAAGCACUUCUCGUCCUCGACUUCUUCUGCUGAUGUCCAAGAUUGGCGUGUCCUCCGGCCCUCCAUCUUGAGGGGGCGUAUUAGAAUAUAUUGUGUGUAUCUUUUUAUUAUUGGUAAAGUAUUCUUUCAUUAUUGUACAGUCCUAUAGUUGGUAGGAUUUGAUUUC